GCGUCUAGGUCGAUGCGAAUGCCCGAGUGUCGCGCGAUGCGGAGCCUUUACGAGGUCUCGAAACUCUUGCAGAGCCUUAGUUUAACCUACGCCAACCUUCGACCACCGCCCUUCAACGAAUUCGCCCCUUAAAAUUUGGAGUUCCGUUCCUCGUUGCUUUUCACCAACUCUCUGAACGCACGUAUCGAUCAUGGCACCUAAUCAAGCGACCGAGAAGUCGAGCAAGCAGGUGGAAGCCGGGGACGAGGCCGACGACUACAACGUCAAGUUUCCACGGCCGCUUCAGCUGGAGGAGAAAAAAUAUCUUCUGGCCGUCGAACGAGGCGAUCUACCCAACGUGCGCAGAAUGCUUCAGGCCGCGAAUAAUCCCGCUCGGUCACGGCAAACGAGGUCCCUCGACGUGAACUGCGUAGACAGCCUAGGCCGCGGUGCCCUGGCGCUUUCGAUCGAAGCAGAAAACCUCCAGAUGCUUGAAUUGCUCGUGGUGAUGGGGGUCGAGACGGGGGACGCGCUGCUGCACGCAAUAAACGGCGAAUUCGUGGAGGCGGUCGAGCUGCUGCUGGAGCACGAGGAGCUUCUCCGGGGAGAAGAGGCCGCCAGCGCCCUGGCAUCGUCGCCGGAAGUCACAGGGGGCAAGAGAUCGAGUCUGGUCGAAGGCGGGGGCGGCGACGACGUCGUCCACAGUUGGCAAAGGGUAGACCCUGCCGUGGCCAGGUUCCCACCGGGUAUGACGCCCCUCGUCCUCGCCGCCCAGCGCGACAACUACGAGAUCCUGAAGCUCCUCCUGGACCGGGGUGCGACCCUCCCGAUGCCCCACGACGUCAAGUGCGGCUGUCCCGAUUGCGUCCGUGCUACCGCCGAAGACCCCUUGCGACUCUCGUCGACGCGAUUGUCCGAGUACCGAGCCCUCGCCAGCCCUUGUCUCAUCGCCCUGAGCUCUAGCGAUCCGAUCAUGACCGCCUUCCAGCUCAGCUGGGAACUCAGGCAACUCGGUCUCGCUGAGCCGGAAACACGCGCCGAGUACGGCAAGCUUCGAAAGCAGGUUGAACGAUUCGCCGUUGAUCUUCUGCAGCAGGCGAGAACGACCGCGGAACUGUCGACGAUACUGAACCACGAUCCGGACGACGAAUUAGCCGCAGAGUCGGAUUCGACGGGCUUGAAAACGUUGCCGCGGCUCGAGACGGCGAUACGUUACAAGCAGAAGCAUUUCGUUGCUCAUCCUCACGUCCAGCAGUUUCUGGCUGCUAUUUGGUACGAGGGGGUGCCUGGUUUCCGUCGGAUGUCGAUGGCGAAACGGAUCUGGAUGCUGGUCAAAACUGCUCUUCUAUUCCCGCUACACUGUAUCGUAUAUCUAUUCGCCCCCGAUUCGGCCCUGGGUCGACAGAUGCGAAAUCCCUUCGUCAAGUUCCUCGUUCACGCAUCGUCGUACCUUUUCUUCCUUGGUGUCCUGAUCCUGGUGUCGCAGCGCGCCGAGGUCCAAGCCGUGCGAUUACUCGGCGGCGAAGAGGCGCGGCGAAAUUUGGAGAAAUCGUUGCUGAGGCAGCGAGGAGUCGGCCCGUCAUCGCUGGAGUGCAUCGUCCUCAUCUACGUUUUGGGAUUCAUUUUGCAGGAGACCCGAGAGGUCUGGGUAGACGGCUUGCGAAGCUACCUUCGAGACCUCUGGAACUUUAUCGACUUCACCCGGAACACCCUCUACGUCACAACCGCCAUCCUCAGAGCCGCCGCCUACGUCCAGCAGACCGCUGAGAUUCGGGGAAAUCCCGAAACUGCAACGAUUCCACGAGAAGAGUGGUCGGAUUUCGAUCCCCAGCUCGUUGCCGAGGGGCUUUUCUCCGCUGCCAACAUCUUCAGCGCCCUAAAGCUCGUCCAUUUGUUCAGCAUCGAUCCACACCUCGGCCCGCUUCAGAUCUCGUUGGGCAGAAUGGUGAUCGACAUCGUCAAGUUCUUUUUCAUCUACACCCUCGUGCUCUUCGCGUUUGCCUGCGGCCUGAACCAGCUUCUUUGGUACUUCGCUGAGUUGGAAAGACGAAAGUGUUACGGUGCUGACGAUGUCGCACCUGACUGGGACGGAGCCGGUGAUGCCUGUUUCCGGUGGCGAAGGUUCAGUAGUCUCUUCGAAACCUGUCAGAGUCUCUUCUGGGCGAGCUUCGGGGGUGUUGGAAUCGACAGUUUUGAGUUAACAGGUAUCAAGUCGUACACGAGGUUCUGGGGUCUCCUAAUGUUCGGCUCGUACUCGGUGAUCAACGUCAUCGUGUUGCUGAACCUGCUGAUCGCGAUGAUGAGCAACAGCUAUACGCUUAUCGUGGAUCAUUCGGACAUCGAGUGGAAAUUCGCGAGAACAAAGCUAUGGAUGAGCUACUUCGAGCAGGGUGGAACGCUGCCACCGCCAUUCAACCUGGUACCGGCGCCAAAAACGCUUCUUAGACUCUGCGGCGUGCGAAAAAUGGACUCGAGCCGACGUUCCAGCGCGAGAAAACGCGUCCAGGAGCACAGGUACGGAGGCGUGAUGAGGGCUUUGGUCUGGCGUUACGUCGUCGAGGAUCACAGUAACCAAGUUAUGGAGCCGGUGACUGAAGAUAACAUCCACGAGGUGAAGUCGGAGCUUUCUUCCUGGCGGUGCGAGCUUCUCGAUAUUCUGGGCAGGAACGGCAUGGAUAUUUCCGGGGUCGAUACCAAGGAUAGAACGUGUCCGGGCCGUAAGAUGCGAGUAUGGGAAAGACGCCUGAUGAAGGGGUUCCAAGUUCUGGGACCAAUCGCUGGUCUCGCCGAAGAAGAGGCUCGGGAGGAGCUGGCGUUGCAGCAGCCUCCGGAGGGCGAAGAGAACGCGGCGCGGUGGCGACGCGUUGCUCGUCUUGCGGUGCUCAAAUCUGCGGGUCAUCGCUGGGGCCAGGUCGUCGGCCGGGUAGUUCAAAGCUCGCAGAUCGGUAGAAGCAACAGUCACGCGUCUCUGCAGAGCCAGCGGAGCCUGAAACGGGCCAUGGAGGAGGCGCGACGGCUUGCCGCGAAGAGCCCGCUGCCACCGGUCAGUCCCGUUCGCCUUCCGGACACGUCGAACUCCAGCACCCUCCACAUUCUAAAGGAUGUAAACGAAACCGACGAUGAGAGAGUCACAGUCACCCCAGAGCCGAGUCUGAGACCCCCGGCGGUUGUUGGAUACGUUGAUGAGAAGCAGCCGAAGCCUGUAAAACGGAGUCCCGGUCGAGUGGUGAAACCGCUGACGUCGAAGAUCUCGGAUCCGAAGAAGAACAGAGCGCGUGUCAGUCCGGGGAAAACUCCACGGCAGCAAACGUCGUCGCCUUUGGCCGAAAGCGUGGCGAACAAAGUUCCGGAUGUUUCUGUUACCCCGGACACUCCGGAGUUAGGGCAGGGAAUCGAGAACUUGAACAACGAUAAACGACGACUGGUCAAGCCGGUACCUAGGUCGCCGCGGUUUGCGCCGUUGAGAUCACCAAGGAGAGGAGGAGGCUGGCUCUGAUAUCUCGGGACGGAGUUUAGACGCCUUUGGCAAUUUGCAGAGUGCCUUGUACAACACUAAAAACAAUUAAGAAAUGUUACAGAAAAUCAUAUAGUCAACGCUUCCAACGCCGGUCAGGUGCAUGGACUCAAUUGUCCUCCGGAGUCACGCGGCUUUUUCGCAUA
rnacentral:misc_RNA from 1 species